CUACACUAGAGAGAAGUGCUGGCACAGCUUUUAGGUUUGCACCACCUGAGAAACUGCAAUCUUGCCAAGCUGAAGCCUUUUAAGUGGAAAGGCAGGAAGAAAUGACAGUGGUUCAGAUCAGAAAAAGAACAACUUUGGGGACCAGAUAUUCGAGUCAACCAAGCAAAUUAAGAGAGGGGAGUUUGAUUUGAGGAGGAAGCAACUUCCCAAAGGCCAAACGUUAGGAGAGGAACUGAAGUCUUUGGAGCUCCAGAGUGCUGCGACAGCCACGAGCCUGCUCUUCCUAGCAAGGGCUGCUGCAGGCAUCUGGGAUGAACAUCUGCCCUUCUGUUUUGGGUUCUCCUCAGCACAGAUAUUCAAGAGCUGUCUGGAUGCAUUCCAGUGUGACCUGCUCUGGGUGAUCCUGCUCUGGCAGGUGGGCUGGACCAGAUGAUCUUUCGAGACCCCUUCCAGCCCCUGACAUUCUGUCAUUCUGUGAAUCUAAGGUGAGAGAUUUGCUCUGGGAGGCAGAGAAUAGGGCCAGUCUUCAGCAAAUAUAUAGUAUCAAGUGGCCUGAACCCCUCAAAAAUGAAGGCAGAAGGCAAGAAAUACACUAAUACAUAAUAAACUACAAGAAUAUCUAAGAAUAUGUCUGUCUGUGCCUUUUAUUUAUGGUAUAUCCAUUUAUUUCCUCUGUGACCUGCUCUGGGUGAUCCUGCUCUGGCAGGGGAGCAGAACCAGAUGAUCUUUUGAGGUCCCUUCCAGCCUCUGACAUUCUGUGAUUCUAUCAGUCUAAGAUGAGGGAUUUGCUCUGGGAGGCAGAGAAGAGGGCCAGUCUUCAGCAGAUAUAUAAUAUCAAGUGGCCUGAACCCCUCAAAAAUGAAGGCAGAAGGCAGGAAAUACACUAAUAUAUAAGAAAGUACAAGAAUAUCU